GAGUUUGAUCAUGGCUCAGAUUGAACGCUGGCGGCAUGCCUUACACAUGCAAGUCGAACGGCAGCAUGAUCUAGCUUGCUAGAUUGAUGGCGAGUGGCGAACGGGUGAGUAAUACAUCGGAACGUGCCCUGUAGUGGGGGAUAACUAGUCGAAAGAUUAGCUAAUACCGCAUACGACCUGAGGGUGAAAGUGGGGGACCGCAAGGCCUCAUGCUAUAGGAGCGGCCGAUGUCUGAUUAGCUAGUUGGUGGGGUAAAGGCCCACCAAGGCGACGAUCAGUAGCUGGUCUGAGAGGACGAUCAGCCACACUGGGACUGAGACACGGCCCAGACUCCUACGGGAGGCAGCAGUGGGGAAUUUUGGACAAUGGGGGCAACCCUGAUCCAGCAAUGCCGCGUGUGUGAAGAAGGCCUUCGGGUUGUAAAGCACUUUUGUCCGGAAAGAAAUCGCACUUACUAAUAUUAGGUGUGGAUGACGGUACCGGAAGAAUAAGGACCGGCUAACUACGUGCCAGCAGCCGCGGUAAUACGUAGGGUCCAAGCGUUAAUCGGAAUUACUGGGCGUAAAGCGUGCGCAGGCGGUCGUGCAAGACCGAUGUGAAAUCCCCGGGCUUAACCUGGGAAUUGCAUUGGUGACUGCACGGCUAGAGUGUGUCAGAGGGGGGUAGAAUUCCACGUGUAGCAGUGAAAUGCGUAGAGAUGUGGAGGAAUACCGAUGGCGAAGGCAGCCCCCUGGGAUAACACUGACGCUCAUGCACGAAAGCGUGGGGAGCAAACAGGAUUAGAUACCCUGGUAGUCCACGCCCUAAACGAUGUCAACUAGUUGUUGGGGAUUCAUUUCCUUAGUAACGUAGCUAACGCGUGAAGUUGACCGCCUGGGGAGUACGGUCGCAAGAUUAAAACUCAAAGGAAUUGACGGGGACCCGCACAAGCGGUGGAUGAUGUGGAUUAAUUCGAUGCAACGCGAAAAACCUUACCUACCCUUGACAUGCCACUAACGAAGCAGAGAUGCAUUAGGUGCUCGAAAGAGAAAGUGGACACAGGUGCUGCAUGGCUGUCGUCAGCUCGUGUCGUGAGAUGUUGGGUUAAGUCCCGCAACGAGCGCAACCCUUGUCUCUAGUUGCUACGAAAGGGCACUCUAGAGAGACUGCCGGUGACAAACCGGAGGAAGGUGGGGAUGACGUCAAGUCCUCAUGGCCCUUAUGGGUAGGGCUUCACACGUCAUACAAUGGUGCAUACAGAGGGUUGCCAAGCCGCGAGGUGGAGCUAAUCCCAGAAAAUGCAUCGUAGUCCGGAUCGUAGUCUGCAACUCGACUACGUGAAGCUGGAAUCGCUAGUAAUCGCGGAUCAGCAUGCCGCGGUGAAUACGU
rnacentral:rRNA from 1 species